ensembl:lncRNA
GUUAGUGUGUAAUUAGUGUGUAGUAGUGUGUAUAGUGUGUAGUUAGUGUGUAGUAGUGUGUAGUUAGUGUGUAGUUAGCGUGUAGUUAGUGUAAAUUAGUGUGUAGUUAGUGUGUAGUUAGCGUGUAGUUAGUGUGUAGUUAGUGUGAAAUUAGUGUGUAGUUAGUGUGUAGUUAGUGUGUAGUUAGUGUGUGCUAGUCGGUAGUUAGUGUGUAGUUAGCGUGUAGUUAGUGUCGUUAGUGUGAAAUGAGCGUGUAGUUAGCGUGAAAUUAGUGUGUGUUAGUGUGUAGUUAGUGUGUUAUUAGUGUGUAAUUAGUGUGUAGUUAGUGUGUAGUUAGCUUAUAGUGUGUAGUUAGUGUGUAGUUAGUGUGUAGUUAGUGUGUAGUUAGCGUUUAGUGUGUAGUUAGUGUGAAAUUAGUGUGUAGUUAGCAUGUAGUUAGCGUUUAGUGUGUAGUUAGUGUGUAGUUAGUGUGUAGUUAGCAUGUAGUUAGCGUGUUGUGUAUAGUUAGUGUGAAGUUAGUGUGUAGUUAGCAUGUA